rnacentral:lncRNA from 1 species
UGCUGCGCAUGCGUUGUUGCUUAGGUGGUUGCUGACGGAACUGGAGCGAAGUUGAUGCUGACGCCGGCUCAGCGAGCAGUGCACGAAGGGGACUUCAGAUCGAGAUCUUGAACUACUUCAGUUCCAGCAAUGUCUGCUUUUGCUUCAAGGAAGGCAAAAACUGUGAAGCUCUGAGGCUUAUUCUGUCAGGUUUGUACUGAUGUUCAGUAGCAUAACUCUGUNGUUCUCCAGAUUU